UACGAAGGGUGCAAGCGUUAAUCGGAAUUACUGGGCGUAAAGCGCGCGUAGGUGGUUCAGUAAGUUGGAAGUGAAAUCCCCGGGCUCAACCUGGGAACUGCUUUCAAAACUGCUGAGCUAGAGUACGGUAGAGGGAGGUGGAAUUUCCUGUGUAGCGGUGAAAUGCGUAGAUAUAGGAAGGAACACCAGUGGCGAAGGCGACCACCUGGACUGAUACUGACACUGAGGUGCGAAAGCGUGGGGAGCAAACAGG
rnacentral:rRNA from 1 species